UGGCAAUGCUGAGUCACAGCCUGAAGCAGUGAUUGAGCACCUGGUGGGAAGGCAGGGCCAACCCAGGGGAGCUCAGGUGCAUGCAGUGCAGUGUCUGGAAGAAGUAGAGCCAGGAUCCACCCCUUCCCAGACCUCAUUUAAGGGUUGGCAGUGGAGAUGAGGGCAUCUCUUGCUGGAGAUUCCUGCCUACCUGAGGCCUUAGAAAGCAUUGCUAGUAGGUGUUCCUAAGUGGACAGCAUCUUGGAAAUGAAGGGUAGGAUGGAUGAUUGGAUGAUAAAGAAUACAGAGAUGAAACAGUCGGAGACAAAAGGAAAGAAGCACAGAGAUAUAAAAUGGCAGAGAGGUCACUGCCAUUGCUGAAUCCAGUAGUGUGCAUGUGAAAAACUGCUUGAUAUCUUCUUUUGCUUCUGUUGCACUGGGCUACUGCGAUCUACUCAAAUGGCAAAAGGUGCUCUGUGAAGGGAGCAUGAAGAAGUUGUGAAAAGUCACUGUUGUCUCCUCCACUAGUUUAGUAGACCACACACUGCAGAAGGCAUCAAAAAGAGGUAAGGUGUCCUGACAUGAAUUAGUGGGUAUGUUUAAUAACCAGCAGGGUGAACUGACUUGACCAUCAGAAAGACAAGGAAAGAAGCUGGAAGAUCGAGUGUUUGCAAAUCAGCCUGCUCUUAGUUAAAGCCAAGGCAGAGUGGCUUAAUAUAUGUGUCUGUAAAUACAGUAGGAUAGAGUGGGAAUAUAAUACUAGAAUGGUAUUAUUUUAGGUCAGAUCUGGUUUUUGUAGUGUUUUCAGGGAAUAAAAAUUCAAACUGCAACAUGGGUCAAAAUGUAUGGCAGAAAUCAGUUGUAUUUUCUCCUUGUAGGUUUGAUUAUAGUUGACCAAUGUCAUCUCUUCCUUCUAUGGUACCCAGAAAGCACACUGGUGGCAAGCAGGCUGGAUACAAGAUGUUCCCAGUGUCUCCACUGGAUUUUCAUGACAUAUGCACCACCUCCAGCCUUUCACAGUACACAACUGUGCUAUGAGGACCUUCAUGUCUCAGAGUACCAGGACCAGCUUUGUCAUGCAUCCCCUGAGAUAUCGUACAUAGUGAAUUAUGUCCUAAUGAAGCAAAGAUGGAAUCCUUACAGUCUUCCCGGCUUCGGAUAUUUUUAUUGCACAAAAGAAACUAUAUUUUGCCACUUUCAAAUCAAAACUAAUAGAAUUGGUUUUCUAAUACAAAUAAUAAGAUCAGUGCAUGACUCCCAGCACAGGUUUCAGAAUGGUUGAAUGGAGUAUGACAGAUGUUGGUGUAUUUGGUGAACUCUCUCCCUGCUUGAGUUUAUUGACGCCACUGAAGGAAAGAGUUGAAAACUUACGAGCAGCCUUUGGUAGUAAUGGUGAAACUACCAGGAGAACGAACCGGUUCGUGGAGAUGUUGAACAACUCCGAGCAGCUCUCUAUUCGCGCACAUACAGAGCAGCUGAGACCCACAGAGCCAAAGUCAGAACCCGACUGACGUGGGUUUAAGGGGAAGAAGAGUGUUUUUCUUAUGGAAGCAGCUCGUCCCGCACUGCCCCCGUCCCAGCUCAGAGCAGCGGCGGUCCGGAUGCAGUGAUGCCCAGCGGCCGCCAGGGGGCGCUGUGACCCCACCGACUCCCGGACCGGCGCCGCGCGGAGCGCUCGUGGAGCCGCGAGCAAACCCAAGUUGGAAAUCCUUUUUGUCUUCAGAUGUUCCGAGCCACUAUUCCAGCAAAGGAAAUGAAAAAGGGAAACUAAACGAGCUUUCUUCUCCCUCCCCUCUCUCUGGUUUCUAUUUGUAAUACUUUAUUUCUACAACAAGCACAAACCACUACAAAGAC
ensembl:lncRNA